AGGGAUAUAGUUGAUGUGGCAAAACACCAGUAUCCUCAACUGGGAACCGAGGGUUCGAGUCCUUCUAUCCCUG
rnacentral:tRNA from 1 species